CGCGGGAUAGAGCAACUGGCAGCUCGCAAGGCUCAUAACCUUGAGGUUCCGGGUUCGAAUCCCGGUCCCGCAACCA
rnacentral:tRNA from 1 species